rnacentral:rRNA from 1 species
UACGUAGGGUGCAAGCGUUGCCCGGCAUUAUUGGGCGUAAAGAGCUCGUAGGCGGUUCGUCACGUCGGCUGUGAAAACCUGAGGCUCAACCUCAGGCCUGCAGUCGAUACGGGCGGACUCGAGUUCGGCAGGGGAGACUGGAAUUCCUGGUGUAGCGGUGAAAUGCGCAGAUAUCAGGAGGAACACCGGUGGCGAAGGCGGGUCUCUGGGCCGAUACUGACGCUGAGGAGCGAAAGCGUGGGGAGCGAACAGG